GUUAAAUGCCUGGACAGGGAGAUUAGGCCUAACCCAGGGAGUGAGAGGAGUCAUCAAGGAUUAAGAAGAGGGAGUGGAAUGAGGAGAGAACUGUGCAUUAAAUAAUACUGCUGCUGGUGUUUAGAGUAGCUCAUGUGUAUCCAGUGUGCUCUUUCAAGACACUGUUACCCAUGUUGCAGGAAACUAUUGAAUUCACGUGGGUGUGGUUCUUGCUACUAUGAGAGUAUUAAGAAAAAAAUAAAAUUUCUUGUCAUCCUAAGAAUAUUGCCAGGCCUUCUUGUUCUGAAUCUGGCAUAAAUGUCUUCAGAUGUGUUUCAAAGUGGAAAAUGAAAGUCUGAGGCACCCUGAGAAGAACCAUCCACAGCAGCAUCUUGUGGGAUGAGGUUACAACAAUCUCUGUGAAGUUGCAUGUGCCUGUAGUCUCUGCUACUUGGGGGCUGAGGCAAGAAGAUGACUUGACCUCAGGAGGUCAAAGCUACAGUGAGCCAUGAUGACACCACUGCACUUCAGCCUGGGUGAUGGAGUGAAGAACUAAGGUUAAGCAAUUUUCCCAAUAUCUCAAUGAUCAUAAAUGGAAUUUCCUUAUUUGCUGUUAAAUAUCUGUGAAGUCUGCUGCGGUCUUCUCUACUACUCCUCAUAUUGGUCAAUUUAUACUUUUCUUCCUUUUUUCUUAGUCAUUCUUGCUAGAGGUUUAUCAAUUCCAUUGGCCUUUUCAAACCACAAGUUUUGGAUGUGAUUGAUUUGUCUCUACUGGGUUUCUGUUAUUGUUCUUUUUAAUUUCAUUGAUUUCUGCUCUUUUUCAUUUCCUCCCUUUGGCCUGCUUUGUGUUUAUAUUGCUCUUUUAUUUCUGGUUUCUUUGAUUGACUUAAGCGCUUGCUUUUAUUUCCCUCUAAAUUGCAUUCAGUGGGAGAGAGAAGAAGGUGUGAGCCUGCUCCAUCUUGUACAGAACCAGAGCCCUAGAGGCUGGGUUAAGUGAAACAUUAAGCAGCAGGGAAUAAUCCUGAGCUUUGGAAUCAAAUUGGCUUGGGUUCCAUUCACUAUCUACCUGACCAACUGUGUGUCUUUGGAAAAGCUCUUAGAAGUCUCAUUUUCUUGAUUACAGUUGUUAUAAAAUGAGACAAAAAUUAUUGUUUCUGGUGUUUCCAUGAGAAUGCUUAUAAGAGAAUGUAGAAAAGCUAUACAUAAUUGCUUGUUAGAUUUUUUUUUUUGUUCUUUCCCUUAUAGUCUUGAUUCUUUCAUUGGUUCAGAUUACAGAGGUUUGACUGUCCAUACACAUCACCACGACUCACAACAAAUCUUGGUUUCUUCACUGCUUGCAUCUUGACUUCUGCUACUUGCCUACUUAUUUAAUAUUCAAAUGUGCUCAGCAAUUAUUAAUCAUCUGUUUCAUGCCGGGUAUUGUGCUAAAUUUUUCCUCAUAUGUUAGUUUUUAGUGUCAAAUAUAUUCUUGUGAAAGACGUUGUUAUCAUUCCGACUUUUCUUUAGAGAUAAAAAAAAGACAAGUCCUUGCCAAGGUUACACAACUUGUAUGGUAUGAAACUAAGAUUCAAACCCAUGGCAGCUUGGCUCUAAUUCUGUGCUUUUCUUAAUGCACUGCAGCUGCUUCUCAUUUUCACCCUUUACCUGUCUGGCUUUCUCAGCAUCGGUCUGUUUACAUCCUCUAAGGGUUUAAAGGCCUCAGACCCAGGAUUGCUGACUCUAGCCUGGACAUCAGUCUCCCUUUACCACUUCAGCUGUGGCCCUGGUGCUCCCACCACCCACCAUCCAGACAUCAAAGUGUCAAACUCCAGGAGCAUGGCAGGCCCAGUGAAUUCAAGUCACGUCAACAUUCCACGUGAUGCUUCGGUCCUCAGUCAGUCGACUAAACCCUAAUGAACACAUGAUGGACUUGAACUGUACUAGAAUGACAUCCAGGUCCCAGGAGAAGGAAGGGACAGAGGGAAAGGAAGAGAGACCAGAGCGCUCUCUCUCUCUCUGCUGUGUGAGAACAGUCACAAGGCAGCCACCUGCAAACCAAGAAAAGAGAGCCCUCACCAGGAACAGAAUCUGCCAGCAUCUUGUUCUUGGACUUCCAGC